rnacentral:lncRNA from 1 species
CGAGUAAGUAUAGAAAGCAAACAAUAGGAUAACCUUCAGAGAUCAAAUGGAAAAGAAGAAUGAAAGUAGAAACCAAGUAUGUCCUGCUGCCAAACCAUAAUCCACAUGCCUGACUAGCGGGUAGGUAUAAUAGAGAAAUAACACAAACUAACAUAUUAGACAUCCAGCAGAAACAAUCGACAAAACAGAACUCUACUUGGUAUAGGCGGC